CCAGCCAGCCACGCAUCGCUACCUUUCUUUUUCUUGGCAUUCCCCACUCCCCUCUCUGAAAGUUCAACACGUUUUUUUCUCUCCCAAAUCUCGCAAGUUUUCAUCUUCUUGGGCUUUCCCGAGAAAGUCGGCAGCUUUCUUGGCGGAAUCGCUUCCCAGAUAAGUGCCUUUGGAUUGGAAUUUCGAGGAAUUUUCCACGCUGCGAUUCCCGUUAGUUGUUUCUUGGCUGUGUAAAGGUGACCCCUUUCCUUUGUUUUUUUUUUUCUGCGUCUCUCUGAAUUGGGUUUGGUGUUGUAGGGCUCAUAUGCCCAAAUCCCAUUUGGAGAGACCAGAAUUCGUGUUUCGAUCUUGGUCUCGAGCUUUGUUAGAUAAAGUUGCGAAGCCGAGCCUUUUUCUGGGAGGAUACUUGGCGUGUCGAAGUUAUUUAGGAAUAUUCGAGGCUGUAUUGGGGGUUUAGUAGCAUGUUUGUUUCCCUGGUUCCUGUUCUAUCAAGUGCUUGAGGAGUGCAGAAUACUAUUGCGUGUGGUGUGGCCUGUGUUGGUGCUAAUUGGGUCGGAUUUGUGUAGAUCGUUAUGUGGUGUAUGGUUUGAUCCAACUGGCAGUGUUCAGGUCGAUGUGCAUGUGUUCACCGGAUUUGGAUGUGUUUGUCUGAAUCGGGCAGUGACAAGGUGCGGUGUUGUGUAUAACCAAAGUAUAUCUUCUUUGAAUUUCUUGAUUGGAGCGCUUCUACUCCAAGAAUAGUUUUUACGAUGGGGAAGCAGAGUGGGAGGAAGGGAGGAAAAUCUGGUGAUAGUGUUGGAAAGCAACACAAAGCUGGGGAGAACGCUCCAAAAGCAUUUGAUAAGGACACGGCGGUUUUCAUUGCAAUGUCCCAGGAACUGAAGGAUGAAGGGAAUAGGUUGUUUCAAAAGAGAGACUAUGAAGGGGCUAUGCUGAAAUAUGAAAAAGCCCUCAAAUUGCUCCCUAGGGUUCACAUAGAUGUGUCGUAUCUCCGCAGCAAUAUGGCUGCGUGCUAUAUGCAAAUGGGUCUCAGUGAGUACCCGCGGGCGAUCCAUGAGUGCAAUUUGGCCCUAGAAGUCACGCCCAAGUAUUCUAAAGCACUUUUGAAGAGGGCAAGAUGUUACGAGGCAUUGAAUCGGUUGGAUUUAGCAUUGAGGGACACUUCAUCAGUUCUGAACAUGGAACCAAAUAAUGUAAUGGCAUUGGAGAUAGCAGAUAGGGUGAAAGCUACAAUCGCAGAGAAAGGAUUGACUGUGAACAAUGAAUCGAUUGAGUUGCCGCCUGACUACGUUGAACCUCCUAGCUCUUCAUCAUUGGCAAAACGAGUGAAAGAGAAAGCUCGGAAAAAGAAAGGUAGCCGAGUCGAGGGGAAGAAACCUCUCGAAAAGCCUAAGGAGAUUGAGAACGUUGAUAAAGUUGAGGAAAAUAAGGCCAGGCAGAUAUUUGAGAGAAGUAAGGAUGAGGAAGGAGCUGAUGAGAAGAAGCCAGAGGAUAAGGCAGUAGUGGAGGAGAAAAUCAUGAGCAUAGAGGACGAAUUGCCUAAGAAGACUGUAAAGUUGGUUUUUGGAGAGGACAUAAGAUGGGCUCAGUUGCCAGUUAAUUGUAGUCUCUUGCAGGUGAGGGAAGUGAUACGCGAUCGCUUCCCGAGCUCCAGAGCUGUUCUUGUAAAGUACAGAGACCAAGAAGGUGACUUGGUCACAAUUACUACAGAUGAAGAACUGAGAUGGGCUGAGGCAUCCACAGAGCCACAGGGUUCUAUCAGAUUGUACGUUGUCCCAGUGAAUCCUGACCAGGAUCCAUUUCAUGGGAGACUUUCAGACAAGGAGGACAUUGAUGAUGUUACCAUCAAGAACGAUGUACUUCAGGAGAAUGGGCACGUGGUCAAAGCCGCUGAAGCAGGAAAGAAGCCAACUUGCAUUGAUGACUGGAUAAUUAAUUUUGCUCAACUUUUCAAGAAUUAUGUUGGCUUAGACUCUGAUGAAUACUUGGAUCUUCAUGAACUUGGUAUGAAGCUUUAUUCUGAAGCAAUGGAGGAGACUAUCACUAGUGAUGAGGCUCAAAACAUUUUCACAAUAGCUGCUGAGAAGUUUCAAGAGAUGGCAGCUCUAGCUUUGUUCAACUGGGGUAAUGUCCACAUGUCAAGGGCAAGAAAAGGUGUGCACUUACCAGAGGAUGCUUCAGAGGAUUCCUUACUUGAGCAGAUAAAAAUUGCAUAUGAUCGGGCAUUAAAAGAGUAUAGAAGUGCGGGGAAGAGAUUUGAAGAAGCGUUGAAGAUUAAACCAGAUUUCUAUGAAGGAUAUCUAGCCCUAGGGCAGCAACAAUUUGAGCAGGCUAAACUUUCUUGGUAUUAUGCACUAGGGAGCAAAGCUGACUUGGAAACAUGGCCUUCUUCUGAGAUGCUCCAACUCUAUAACUACGCUGAGGACAACAUGGAAAAAGGCAUGCAGAUGUGGGAAGAGUGGGAAGAGCAACGCUUGAAGGAUCUCUCAAAUCCAAAUAAUAGUAAAGUUCAGUUGCAACAAUUAGGGUUGGAUGGAUCGUUCAAUGAAAUGACGGCAAAUGAAGCUGCUGAUCAGGCUGCAAACAUGAGAUCACAGAUAAAUCUUUUGUGGGGUAGUAUGCUGUAUGAGCGUUCCAUUGUAGAAUUCAAAUUAGGAUUACCUGUCUGGCAUGAAUGUUUGGAAGUUGGGGUCGAGAAGUUUGAACUUGCUGGAGCUUCUCCGACGGAUAUAGCGGUUAUGGUGAAGAACCAUUGUUCAAAUGAUGGUGCAGUUGAAGGUUUAGGAUUUAAGAUUGAUGAGAUAGUACAAGCAUGGAAUGAGAUGUAUGAAGCUAAAAAGUGGCAGAGUGAUGUUCCAUCAUUCCGGUUGGAGCCAUUGUUCCGGAGGCGAACAUCCAGACUUCAUCAUGCUCUUGAACAACAUUAGGUACCAUGCCCUUGGACAGGCUUUCCAAGACAGACGUCACUCUUGUUUUUCUCCACCUUUUGGGUUACGUAAUGCUGUGUGUCGAGGAUAUUCUUGCUCGGGGUCCAUUCAUUGCCUUUUGUCCAUAAAAGUGUUGUUAUAUUGGUUGUGCCGGAGUUGGAGUUCGGGUUUUCAACCAGUCAACGCAAUGACUUCCCGCAUAUUUAGUGGGGAAGAGAAGCAGGGAUCUCCAUUUAGGAUGUUGGCUUCGUCACCAUCAUUGCAUUGUAUUUUUCCUCAGGAUAGAAUGUGUACACUGGUUUAAAAGGGAAAAAAAAAAAAACAAUAGUAUCGUGUUUAGUACUGUAUUUUGAUUUAAUUUCAGUCAUUCUCAAAGAGGUUCAUUUGUGGGUAUUGAUUGAAUUGUAGGGGUUUCUUUGGUUGAUUCAUGUACCGUGUUAAUCAUAGUGGGUCAUCUUGGAUUGUAUUUCUAAUUUAGUGUCAACUUCAUCCUUUGUUCAACUUGUGGAGUUACAUGAGCUUUAGUUAACUUGAAGCUUCUAUCUCUGUGCUGGAUGAAUUUUGAUGUUUUUAAGAGCAGAAUUUUCCGCCAGAGUGAAUUUGCCAGGAUGAUGGGACGUAAGCGUGC